UACGUAGGGUGCAAGCGUUGUCCGGAAUUAUUGGGCGUAAAGAGCUCGUAGGCGGCUUGUCGCGUCGGCUGUGAAAACCUGGGGCUCAACCCCGGACUUGCAGUGGGUACGGGCAGACUAGAGUGUGGUAGGGGAGACUGGAAUUCCUGGUGUAGCGGUGAAAUGCGCAGAGUAUCAGGAGGAACACCGAUGGCGAAGGCAGGUCUCUGGCCACUACUGACGCUGAGAAGCGAAAGCAUGGGGAGCGAACAGG
rnacentral:rRNA from 1 species